ACUAAUGAUACCCGAAACAGGCAUAGGCUGACAGUCCCCCUACAUGCAAUUCAAAGCCCUCAGUCGGUUUGCAUUAUUUCCUCUUAUUUGCUUUAAUUUGUAUUCACUCUGGCGACAUCAACAUACCUGUCUCUUAUCUUACCACCCAGUGGACUCUUGUCUCAUGUAACACCAACCAUAGUACCCAGCGGCUACCCUGCUGACAAAUUAACUACAGUUUAGCGUGUUCCCUUAUCUUGAUAUAUUAUACUCGACUACGUUAUUGUCAAUCCAUAUAGUAUAUCUCAAACAAUUCUACUGUUUUCUUGUUAAGCAACACUAUAU